UCUCUCUUCCCCUGUGUACACUCUUGCAUGUUUAUGCACACACAUUGUUCUCGUCACAAUUGCUUGCAUACAUCUGCCCUCUCACUUAAGCUUCUUGCUGAAAGAAAACAAAACCAUCUCAUGCUUUUGACGUAGUACAAUGGUAUAACUGGUAGGUUUUUGGAAUUGGCAUCUCUCCUUGAACCUGGAAGGCCUCCUAAGGCUGACAAGGCCGCUAUAUUGAUAGAUGCUGUUAGAAUGGUGACCCAGUUGCGUGGUGAAGCUCAGAAAUUGAAGGACUCGAACAGUAGUCUGCAAGAGAAAAUCAAAGAGUUGAAAGUGAGUCUGUUAUAAACAUAUGGAGAAUUGAAUUUAUGCAUGUUCCCUGCCUUUGUUCAGUUUGAAUGUUUUAAUUCUAUCGAAAUAAAUAGGCUUUUCCCCCCAAUUCCAGGAAGCUAUUUCCGCAUUAACCAUUAUUUGAAAUGGUCGAUUGAAAUUAUUUAGUGUCUCACAAUUGCUUUCACACUUGUAGGCUGAGAAAAAUGAGCUUCGUGACGAGAAGCAAAGAUUGAAAGCCGAGAAGGAGAAGUUGGAACACCAAUUGAAGGCCACAAGUGCACAACCUAACUUCUUGCCUCCACCUCCCGCAAUGCCUGCGGCAUUUGCCACCCAAGGCCAGGCCCCCGGAAACAAGUUGGUGCCUUUCCUUGGUUACCCUGGUGUUGCCAUGUGGCAAUUCAUGCCUCCAGCGGCGGUUGAUACCUCACAAGAUCAUGUUCUCCGCCCACCAGUUGCUUAAGUUGCAACAUUGGAUCAUAUGGGCUGGCUUUCAUUUGGUCCUCAAUAUUUGAAUCAGUUUGUCAUGUUUAUUGGCUGUUUUAGCUUUCGCUGGAAGUGUACUGACUUCUUUUUGUUGGACGAGUACCAUGUGUACAAUCAGAACUAUCAUGACUUAUGAUGGUUUCACUUGUAAAUUUCGCCAAUUUCUCUAAUGUAGCUAUUUUCCAAGUUCUAUUUCCUGGUGGAUUCUUUUUUACAUUUUCGUCCUGCGGCUGUCCUUUAGGCCUUUUAAUCAUGGGUAUGUUUUUGAUCGCAUCUCAGUGAAGUCUUGGAUGGAUUUAAUUACUAAUCUUUGUUGGUGAAAUUUCGUUGUUUGCUUUGAAUUUGUGAAUAAACUUGUCUCUUUUUAAUUUUGAAUCUGUUGUUAGCCUUCGUUAUUCAUCAAUUACAGUUUAUCUAUAGCAAAUCUAACGCAAAUUUGACGGUUCUUGAUGAAUUUGUUGGCAAUGUCGACACACUUUCUACAAUGGCCACCAAUCAAGGGAAUCCUAUCUUCAGCAGAGGCUUCGUUCCGCCACUGAACCUAGGCAUAACUCAAGUCUCCAGAUGAUCCAAAAUUUCCGUCACUGUCCAGGGCUUUGCGUAUAAUUUGCAACAGACAUAUUGAUGCUGACUCUCUGUUGCUUCAUUGACAAGAUUCUUUUGAGUGGCAAAUGCUGGAUUUGAAGCAUCCUUCCGAUAUAGUCUCUGACUUCAUUUGCCAAAAAUUAGGUUCUCUGUCUCUGCAAUCCUCGUAUAAUAGACUUCGCCCUAGAGAAGGCAUGAAACCCUUCCGGAACAGAGUAUCAAUGCACACAGUAAACUCUCUACGGAUUCGAUUAUGUAAAGAAUGUGAAAAAAUUUCCUCCAUGUCAACACCAAAUAUUAUAUGUUGAAGAUUUGGGUGAGACUGUCCUUGGCCUUUAAUGGUUUGUCCAAAAGCAAAACAGUAUUGAUGCAUUGCAUCUGCCAACUAUUGGCAUUCUCUAACUGAUGUGAAGGGGUGGGCGAUUUCUAUUCAGCUUGGUGCCUUUAAUGCGUCAAGCCUCUACUGCAUUAUGCAUGAGUACAGAUAACACAUUUGCCGCAACAAUUGGAGAAAGUGGAUUGCCCUGUUGAACAUCUCUUGAGGGUUGUAAGAAUUGAGUUGAAGAGGCUCUCUAUUCAUUUGACGCUAAAAUAGUUUAACCAAUUCACCCAAACAUCCACGAAGCCCAUUUUCUUGUUGAGACGUCUCAUUUGACCGUCAUAAGCUUUUUUUAUACCCAGAGAGUUUGGCAUUUUCUUUUUCUUUUCCAUACCCUCAAUGGAUUCACUAUUUCAUGCACUAACAAAAUGUUAUCCUGAAUUUGUCUUUCUUCAACAAAAGCACUUUGUUCCAAGGAAACCAAAUACAGCAGCCAAAUUUUAAGUCUAAUAGCCAGAACUUCAGCAACAACCUCAUAUGAUAAGACUACAAUGGCUUCUAGGGCUGUAUUGGUCAAGACUUCAGGGUUGGGAGGUGGCUGGCCAGUAGCUAGCUCACCUCCCCUUUUGGGUGAGGGCGAGCUCGUCCAGCCAUUGGUGAGGCCGACCUCCCCUUAUGGAUUGGCGAGCUUGAUCUCAAUGUCGCUGGGCAAGGGCGAGCUUGCCUUGGCUCAGUGAUGGCGAGGUGAGCUCGUCAUUGGUUGGUCGCUAGAGCAAGAGGAAGAAGGGAGGAGGAGGAAAAAAGAGAGGAAAAAAAGGAAAAAGAAAAAGAAAAUAAAAAUUAUUAAAAGGUUCUCCAUUGGCACCGAUCAAUCAAGUUUGGCCAGAUAGAUUGAAUUGAUGUAAUUAUAAAAGGUUUAUGACUUAAUUGACAAAACAUAAGAAGGUUUAUGACUGAAUUAGAAAAAUUACAAUAGAUUUAAGACCAUUUUUUGUAAUUUUCCCGUUGUUUGCCCUAUCUUCAACUUUGUUGAUAAAUCUUUUUUAAAAUUAAAUGUUAGAUAUGAUAUUCUAAAGGCCGACCUCUAACUCCACUUGUCAAUGAUAUUAUUAGUUUUGGGCUAUAGGACUCACCUCCUCAUCCGCUCAUGGUUUUGUUUCUCUGGUUUUACCCAAAAAAUGCCUUGUUGGUAGUUAAGACUGGUAUGUUACUCUACAUUACCUUACCAUCUUUAGGCGAUGUGGGAUUUGGUCAAUUCAUGAGAUUUUGUUUGGUUCGUCCCCGAACCAGGCAUUUCUGGCUGUGCUUGGCUAUGAUACCGUUGUAAGGGUCGACUUUAGGCCUCACUUGUCAACAACAUUGUUCGCUUUGGGCUGUAGGACUCGCCUAUCACAUGCCCUUACAUUUUGUUCCUCUAGGCUUUGCCCAAAAAAGAUCCUAUUGGUAGUUAAGACUACUCUUUAUGUAGCACAUUAUCUCAUUGUUUUAGGUAAUAUGAAAUUCGGUUCAUUCCUGUCCCUUUCGCCACCUCGAGAUAGAAUCGCACUAGUUUCCCUCACAGGACUAGAUCGUUACAAAUAUGAUAUGAGAUUUUGUGAAUUACAAUUGUGAGGUUUGCCACACUCAAAUUGGAUAUGAUGUGAUGACUAAUGAGUUGCAAUAUGAAAUAUAGUAAAGUUGCACACAUAAUGCUUUGGUUAUAGUGGAGAUGAACCAUCCAUGUCAAGGGCUACCUUUUUCAUGUGAUAGAUGGUAAAUCCAUUUAAUCUCUCUGAGAGAAAGGACAUCCACUGAAAGUGGAGAUCAAAUGGAGAUUCUUCCCCAUGUGGGCGUUCCAGCUUUAUGUGAAGUGUUUCUGGAUACUCGAACCGGAGUGAGUGUACCUGGUGGUGAACUGUUCAUUUCAACAUUUUCAAAUAUAUGGAAGGCAAAAAUAGGAAAAUCUCUUCUGGCGUAGGACCUGGCCCGAGAUGGAGGUCUCUGAUUCUGGUGAGUUGGCUUUCAUGCCUGACCUUGCUUGUUAAAUGGGUGUUUCGCGUUCAAACUAGACCUAGUGACCAUGUUCUCCGACCCUAAUUUUCAUGUAAGAGACCCAUAUGCAAAUCAUGUUUUGGCAAUUUCCAUCAAACCUACAUCUCAAAGACUGGAGAUAAAGGAUUUGAAUAACUGGAAGUGAAGUGAUAGACAUAACGAGAAUGGUCUACUCGAGCUGAAAUCAAAGAUAAGUUCCAUAUAUAAUAUAGGCUACGGAACGAUUCCCUUCCCCAAGCCUCCCUAAUGGACAAUAGCAUGCACAAGCCAUUGCCUUCUAUGAGACAUAAAUAGGUAUAACCCUAUGUUUAUGCCAAAGUUUAUCAUCCUCCCCCUCACAUCUCAUGAAUUCCACAUAGUGUCACUUUCUUUUAUAUUUUGUAAACAUGUAGGUGACUUGGAAAAGGAAGAAAGAGAGCAUCCUAAGGGCUCAAAUAAUGAAAAUAACUUGUGUCUUGUUAUAGUAGGAUUCAGUGAAGAGCUUUGAGGUGGGGCAAAAGGGGAAAAAAAUAACCUAAGGGGAGCAUGAACCGAGUUCAUCCCACUUAACUUUCGUGAGAAUGAAGGCGAUAGUAAUGUUUAGUUGCAAAACUUUUCGACAAAUCAUUUCAAUGCCACUUGGUAAAAAAUAUAAAAAUGACCACUUAAGUAUCAAUACUAAUUUGAGAUAUUGGAUAUCUAAUGUGACAAUAUUUUAACAUUAUUUUUUUCCAAUCAACAUAGUUUGUCGGAAACCCGACUUGGUAAAGUUUAAUGAAAAGUAAUCACUUGAGGGCCAAUUUUUAUUGGAAGCGAUCACUUAUGUUUUUUAACUUCUUAAAAAUGAUUUGUUGAUUUCUCUUUCUUAAAGAGGAUUGGAUCACUUGGUUGGCAAUGCACAUUGCGUACAAACUUGGAAAUGCAUACAAAAACAAUUACUCCAUCAAUAAUUGCUUGGAUUUAGGUCAAACAUCAUUGUAUUCAGAAUAAGGAUGUUUUUACAUCAACAAAAACUCCCCAAUAAGUCAAAAACCUCCCCUACUAAAUGCAGCAACACCAGCGAAAAAACAAAUAAAAAACCUCCCCGACAACGACCUCCCAUCCAUAUGCAGCGACAUUGCGUACAAACUUGGCUUCUUUUUUCUACGUAAAAAAGCCACAUAUUUAAAAAUGUCACGUAGGACAUUUUGUUUGAGUUUAUCGUAGAAUGUAUUUAAAUGACCAUUUUUAUUAUGACACUCGAUAAUCUGACAAAAAAUUUUGAUAUUAAAAUGAGCGACGUGCGAAAGUUUUUAGUUGAUUUCGCAACAUUUUCCCAUAAAUUUUCUGCUAAAUGCUUAUUAUAUUUCCUUUUUAUUUCUUAUUUUCUCGCGCAAUGGGCGGAGCUUAGUGCUAAUUAUCUCAUCACGCUCCACUUGGUAAUUAAACAAAUACGCAAAUGCACAAGGUGCCCGCACUCCCACCACAGGGUGGAGUGCAUCAAUCCUUAAUAAAGAGAUUAUUAUAAUUUAGAAAUUCUCACAAAUUUUGUCCGACAUGAUCAACGGACGUAGAAUCAUCGUAAAGUACCCAAACUGCUGAAUAAAAAUGUCGAAUAUACCCAAUAUUAAUUUGUACCCGGCACAUGAUUUCGAGGUCAUUAAACAUUUCUUUCUCCAGAUACGAUAAGAUCUUUAGUUUUAUAAGCAAAAGUAGUCUUGUAAGUGAUGAAUUAUUAUAUUGCCAUGUCGAUUCCAACAAAAUUUCUUAAAGGCAGAAUAAUUUACAAAAAUGAUAAGGUUUUAUAAAAUAUUAUAUAUAUAUAUAUAUUUAUAUUACCAAUUCCGUAAAGUGUCGUCGUUUGCACCACUUAUGAGAAUAUCUUUGGGUAUGAAAAACGGAUACAAUUUUAAAUUUUGGUUAUUUUGCCUCUCUCUCUCUCUAUAUAUAUAUUAUUAUUAUUUUUUUUUAGUGAAAAAUGAAACGACUGGAGAAUCCGACCCGCAUUUCAUUAGAGUGGGCCCCCAAAAAAGGCCCAUAUUCUCCGCAACCCGUUUACUUCCGCGACCGGCUUUGACGUAGGACCACCACCACCACCACCGCCACCAUCUCAUUCCCUCCCAAUCUCUCUCGUCCUUCUCUCUCCCCUGCGUAAAACCUUUGCGCUAAUCCUUCCGCUUGCCGCCGGGGAAGGGGCGGGGAAUUCCGGCCGUCCGGACCGAGAUGGUGUCGCCGGAGCAGGCGAAUUGGAUCUACGACUGCGGCUUGAUCGACGAUAUCGCCGCCGCCGCGGCGGACGGCGGCCCCUUCCAGGUCUCCGGCUCCGGAUUCUCGUGGCCCGAUCAGCCCCUGAACGGAUCCUCCAUUUUCAGGUACUCCGCGCCGACACGUUCGCCCUCUUUUCGGUUCGCGAAUUAGGGCUCGAAACGGAGUGGUGAUGUCUCCGGUCCAUGCGAUGGGAUGCCAAUUGCGAUGAUUUUGAGGAAAUCGUGGCCGUAUGCCGUACUGUGUUGGGAUGGGAUUUCGGGCGCUUGCGGUUGGUAGGUUGGAGGACCUGUGUUUUGGGUACAGUGAGCGCUUUAGAGAAAUUAGGAGAAUUGCUGCGAAGUAGAGAGAAGUAAUUUUGCAAAACGCUAGGACAUAUUGUAAGGAUGGUAAGCGAUUAUCGAUUUGAUAGGGAGAUCGCUGCUCAGCAAAACUUUAGGCCACUGAUCUUGGGGAAGGUUCAAGAUUUUUUGCUUAUGUCCGUUGCCCUCGUCUCUAGAGGGGCUUGUGCACUCCACUCCUUAGCUUCAGAUGAGGACCAAGGAGCUGAAGGUGGGGAUUCGAACCCUUAACUCUAGCCUGGAUGAAGAAGGUUAUGCUCUGCCAUUGAGCUUUUCUCGCCAGCCACGCAAGUGUUUGGCGGCGCAGCCAUUAGGGCUGUCUUUGCUGCGUAAACAAGAAUAAGUGGGAAUCUUCCUAGGCCAUGACGUCAGCUGUAAUUUUCAGUGUGGGAAGGAAUGAACAAACAUGAGGUUCUUGUUUGGUUUGAGAAGAUGAGCUUGACUUGCAUUAUAUCCGUCAAAUAUUCGAAGGACAUCAGUUUUAUAUGAUUAUUGGCCCAGUGCCUAUCCUUUGUGUUUAGCAAAAUUUUAUUGUUCUGGAGUUGCAUUUCUGUAGCCUUCUUUAUACUUGGGUUUUUCAGCAUUAUGAAAAAGGAGCUCCCUCUAUCAGGAGUUAAGCCUUGCAAAUACAUUACUGGUUGGUGGAAGUAGACUUCCAUUUGUGACUCUUUGAGGGUUUACUAAUAUGAAGCAGCAUUUGGUUGCUUUUUCAAAACUGCACAAAGUCUGUGAGUCUGUGAAUUUGUGAAAUUCCCGAGAUUCCGCUUAGAAUGACAGGAUUCCAAAUUCUUGGGAUGCUUAGGCAGUAAUUGGGUGAAGAUUUGUAGAUGAUUACUUUUUUUUUUGGGCUUGCUAAUGUGAAGUAUUAAUAUACACGGUUUAGACCAUGAAGGCUUGUGCUGUGGGUGUUUUUAUUUCUGUAGUAUUGAAGUGAGUCGUCUGGUGAAUGCAGUUACGAUGAAUUUUUUAGGUUGUAGCACGAGCUUGUUUUUUAUGAUUGAGAAUUCACUAACUUCUAUGGAUGGUGUUUAUCUUUUUGAUUUCUUACACUUGUAUUUAUUCUGUAGCGCGGAAAUUGAUGGUUCCUUAGGGGAUUCAGAUGGAGUGAAGGAAAAUGGCUCAAAAAAGAGGUAUUUGCAUUUAUGUUAAAUUGCAAAUGACAGUUGGAGUUAAAUUGUUAGUGUUUCCACUUUUUCUGAGUCAUUUGAAAAUUGUGUUGAACUUCUAGAGUAGUGGAGAUGGCCACCAUGUAAGAGACUAAACUCCAAAUGUGCUGCAUCGCAAGGAUUACUUGUUAUGGUUUCAGUAAUAGCCUGUGAGCACGUUCAAUGCUAAUGUUGAGGGCAUGUGAGCAGAACGCUGUGGAUUAUAGUUGAUGUUGACUAAUUAUCAGUUCUCUCUGUCAUGAUUGCCUAUCUAAAUUUGGUUUCUACUGUUGGUAAUUGAUGACUUCAAGUCUAGCUGAAUUUGGGCAUAGGAAGUGAAGAUUGUCCAUUCCUUGUUGGAAAUUUGAACCGGAUUUUGUCAGUUUGACAAAUUUUUUGUAUUUUGACUUGCUUUAGGAGGUUAUUGCAGGUUAUUGGUUUAUGUAUGAUUUGUGUUUAUCUAACUUGGAGAUGUUGCUGCAGGGUUAGAAGUGAAUCAUGCAGUGCUUCUAGUUCCAAGGCAUGUAGGGAGAAAUUGCGUAGAGAUAGACUAAAUGACAAGUAAAUCUGUCUUCCCUCUGUGUGCACUCUUGUAUGCAUAUGCACUCACAUAGUUCUUCUUACAAUCUCUUGCAUACCCUUGCCCUCUUUCAUAAGCUCUUUGCUGAAAGGAAGUAAAACCAUUCCAUGCUUUUAACAUAGCACAAUGGUAUAACUGGUAGGUUUUUGGAAUUGGCAUCUAUCCUUGAACCUGGAAGGCCUCCUAAGACAGACAAGGCCGCAAUAUUGAUAGAUGUGG
rnacentral:lncRNA from 1 species